rnacentral:rRNA from 1 species
AUACGUAGGGUGCGAGCGUUGUCCGGAAUUACUGGGCGUAAAGAGCUCGUAGGUGGUUUGUCGCGUCGUCUGUGAAAUUCCGGGGCUUAACUCCGGGCGUGCAGGCGAUACGGGCAUAACUUGAGUACUGUAGGGGAGACUGGAAUUCCUGGUGUAGCGGUGAAAUGCGCAGAUAUCAGGAGGAACACCGGUGGCGAAGGCGGGUCUCUGGGCAGUAACUGACGCUGAGGAGCGAAAGCAUGGGUAGCGAACAGGAUUAGAUCCCCUGGUAGUCCAUGCCGUAAACGGUGGGCGCUAGGUGUAGGGGUCUUCCACGACUUCUGUGCCGUAGCUAACGCAUUAAGCGCCCCGCCUGGGGAGUACGGCCGCAAGGCUAAAACUCAAAGGAAUUGGCGGGG